UCCUGGACAUGGCCAAACAAAAUAUGAUACAACUGGCCACACGCCUCAUCUCAUGGCUAGAGGUGGAAACCCAGUAGGAGGAAAAGGGUUCCAAGCAAAGAACUGGACCAUGAGAUUUAACCUCCACACCACAAGCACUGGGGUAGAAGACUGCUGCCGGGUGAAGAAGACUCAAGACCUGCUCAUUGAGCAGCUACGAAUUUCUUCAAAAACCAUGGUGCAUGAGGAAGAUGGAUGCACUGGCAGAGUCAGUACCAUGAAAUGAAAAGGGAAGCUAAACUCUCCAGUAGAUGAAUCUUCCUCAUCUUGAAAGUGAAGGGACUCAUGGGAAGGAGGACAGUGGCGGUAUGAGUUUUGAAACCGUGUCCUCAUGGUGGCAGUAAAGCUCCACACAAGAGCUGGUGAGUGCUUCUCCCCCGCCCUUCUUGUCUGAAAAAAGAGCAAAGAUGGCUAUCCAGAGUUCUGUCCAACUUUGAGUUGUUUCAACUGUAUUUUAUUUUAUUUUUUGGUCAUGUGUUCCAUGUGAAGCCAAUCUGAGGCCCUAGCUGGUGGGCGUCUUUUCCUUCUGUUACGUAGGGUGUUUCCUUUUUCGCUCUUUAUAACUGUUGAUUUUUAUGCUUUCCAGAUACUUAAUGGUUUUCCUAAAAUUUUUGUACGAUUAAUUUGUAGGUUUUACAGGAUAAGGAUAUGCUUGGAGAUUUAGAAGCAAAGGAGUAUGCUGAGCCCUGGUCCUAGUGAACUACAUAAGGCAGGCUGGCCUGGGCCUUUCCAGGAGGCUUCUGGUCCAUGUUAGCAAACAAACACGUGGCAGUUGAUAAUUACAUCACAAAGAGGAUGUCCAUGCUUCCCAGUUUUCUCCUCUCUGCCUACAUCCUCCAUGUUCACCCUUGGAGGGACAANUCAGUCCAAGGGAAGUAUACCAGNUCUGAAUGGAGAGUGUUCAGUGGAGAGUUACUUCNGAAAAACAGUAACACAGUCCUAGACAUCCACCAUCCUGGAUGUCUCUGGAUAUUGGAACUUACUCCUGUCCUGUCUGCUAAGGAAAGCUGCCAUAGUUUUUGGAUUCUGUCCAUUAUUGGAGUUUUUUUCAGACAGUGAAGGCGGGGACAGAGAAGUGUAGUCAGGCCAUCUUUGCUCUUCUUGGGCAACACUGCCAUCAUGCGGAAAAUGUUUCCUACAGACCCGCACAGGCACACACACCUCCUCCAUCCCGCUUCUCCUCAGCCAUUUUAAAGCAGGGAGGAUCAGGGGAAUUCAUGAAUGGCGAAGCUUGCCGUUUUACUCUAUUUCUCUCCUUCUGAAGGCAGACUAGAAUCACGGGACCCUUCAGAGUAUUAACCCAGACCCUGGUGACUGAGGUCCAGUACCAAGUGCACAGCUGUGCUGAGGUCCAGGGACAGGAAGCAGAGGGCGGGAUCCACCCUGCUCAGCUGGCAAUGUUAAUCUACUAGCUGCUGGCCUAGG